rnacentral:lncRNA from 1 species
GCUCUGGCAAACUGGAGAGGAUCACAGUGGUGUGGAGCAUUGGCAACACAGGUCAGAGGCAGUGCCCAACCUCCUGCAAUCAAUGGUGUGUGGUGCAGCCCUCUGUCUUUCUGACAGGAGGUGAUUUGAGGCAGGCCAAGAGGCAGGAACACUGCUUGUGUUUAGGUGAGGGUAGUCAGUAAAUCUCUGGAAGGUGAGUUAAAGCUAACAUCGUGCUCAUGUUAUAGACUAGAGAAAAUCAGAGGGAGGAGAUCUGACUGCGGCUACGGCUGAGGGAAAGUUUAUAGGACAGGCAAUAUAUAUCUCAAGAUCAGGAGUUCCCGGGGGAAGCAGGCUGUGCUUAGGGGCUGAACCCUUGAGGUGAAGUUCAACAGGGGCUUGGGCAGUUUGUUAACAAAGAGAAGUAGAGAGAGUGACCUCUUGCAGCUUUUAAAAUCCCAGGUGGAUAUGUAAACUUCUUUUUCUGCUCUUUCUUCCAUCUGUCUUUGGGCUUCGAAAUGCUUGAUCGGUAUUUAAAUGUGUGUAACUCAACUCUUCCUUUAUUUUUACCUUGGGUUUUUUGUUGCAAGGUGGUGCCAUGGCAACAGACCCACAACUAAGAUGUCCAUGUCUAGAUGUCAAGCAACCCUUACAGAAACAAGUUACUUGACUCUUCCCAUAGCUCUCUAGAGAAACAAAUACCACUUCCUAGGGUGCUGGAGAGAUUUCUUGACAAAGCUUCACAGUGAAAAGCUGAGAAAUGAUAAUUCACAUUUUCCAAGAGAUGAGUGCUCAUUAACGCUCACUGGUGGCUCCUUGGCAUGCAGCGUGGAGGUGGCAAGAGAGCAUGAAGUUUAGCAUGGCCCCGAAAGUAAUUCCUGAAUGAAGUAGAAGGUGUUUAUUUUGGAAAGCUGCACACCUGAAGGUGUGUUUCAGUGAUGCAAGAUGAAAAGAUGAAUUCCUGUGCUUUCUGCGUUCUGCUGUGACUGGAGAUGAUGCUUCUUUUAUAAUGCAUUUAUUGCCACUGCAAGCUUUGGAAAAAAAGUCUUCACGUGUGACAUUUCAUCAACUAAAGAGUGGAGCCAGAGGCCAAAUACAUGGAGACCAAAUACAGGUUAUUCUGUACUGCAUAGAACAACUACAAUCUCCCUCUGGAGCAGGCAUCAGCAUGUCUCUCUCUUCUGCCUGGCUUAUUGCUUGGAGUCUGCAAGGGGCUGCUGCUAUCCCCAGCAGUGCCACUGCAAGUGGCUUGGGCAAUGCUGGGACCCCAGGCAUGGAGGUGCCCUCCCCAGGCAUAGCCAAGACAGUGAGUGUUGCACAGUGUAGAUUAAGGGAUAACACAUACAGUCAGCCAAAACCAGUGUAUAUCAAAUGCUUUCCUAGUCUUAAUAGCUUUUGCUUUUUUUUUUUUUUUUUUUAAAAAAAAAGACUCCUGUAGGACCCAGGCUUUGCUAACUCACAUUUAUAAGUAAACCCUCAUCUUAUUUAGAGGAACACAUUC